ACUGAAAAAUUUGAUCUUUGGAGAAGAAACUCUCACCACAAUCAGAAACUGGAUCAUUGAACACUGGUGGGGUGUAAUGCUUAUUGUAGUCGGCGUCGUGAUUGUGAUGGGCGUCUUUAUCAAAGUUUGCUCUAAAAAUACACCAAGUGAAGACCCAAACCUAAAGAAAUUUAGAAAAAAGAAUAAUAAGGAAAGAGGGCCGGUAAAAAAUCCUGGACCUUAUUACAUAGAAGGAAAUAAGAAAGGGAAGGAGAAUAGACGGGGAGAAAUGGGGAAUAACAAACGAAAUAUGGAAAUGGGGAAAGUCUAGAUAAAUGUCAAGACAUUUACAGUAAAACACAGAUAUAGCACACAUGUGCAGUAAAUUAUCUCAGAAGAGGCCUGAAUUUUGUCUUAUUAUCAAAUUAUUUUGAUAACAUAAGAUAAGAUUAUGUAUAGCUAAUUGCACUGUGCCAUCACCUGUUUAUUAUUUGUUAUAACCGUGUUUUACUGUAAAAUGUUUCUUUCGGAGAAAAAGAAAAAUAAUUGCUGUGAAAAUGUGCCAAAUUAAUACUUUUUCAAGUUACUUUUUCUGCAUGUACAUCUAACUUAAUGUUAAAAGUCAUGCUCAUUUUGUACUUA